rnacentral:rRNA from 1 species
UACGGAGGAUGCAAGCGUUAUCCGGAUUUAUUGGGCGUAAAGCGUCCGUAGGUGGUUAGCCAAGUCAGUUGUUAAAGCGUAGAGCUUAACUCUAUAAGGGCAAUUGAAACUGGUUAGCUAGAGUGCGACAGGGGCAAGGGGAAUUUCCAGUGUAGCGGUGAAAUGCGUAGAUAUUGGAAAGAACAUCGGUGGCGAAAGCGCCUUGCUGGGUCUGCACUGACACUGAGGGACGAAAGCUAGGGGAGCGAAAGGG